AAAAUUUAUUUUUUUAAUAUCUUAAUACAGUAACAAUAAAAAAAUAAAAAUUGUUGUAAAUAAAAAUUACUGUAAAAUAAAAUAAAAAGAUAUGUAUAUUUUUGUUAUUUUUCCAAAUCUUAACCCACUAGCAAUGGCCACAACUGAAAACGACGUAGUUUAAUUGCUGAUUCUUUCAUCUUAUAUCUCAUUCGUGGCUCAUUCAUGUAUGGUCAAGUGUAUGGCUAUGAGGAUAUCCAAUGAUUGACAAAAAAAAUAAAAAAUCUGAGAAACCGAAUUUGCCGAAACCCACCUCAUCAUUUCACUCAAAAUUUGUACAAGCAACUCAGGGAUGUUUGUGCAUGGUAAAAUGGCGUGCGAAAAUAUAAAUGCAAAUGGAUUUUGUAAUUAUAAUUAUAUUGAUGAUCAUGGAGCACAUAGUUGGAGAAAAGCCAUGGCCCCCCAAAGGGUAUCAAAUGCUGCAACUUGUCUAAAAGUGGAAGCCGAUGAAGAAUCUAAUUUCAUUAUUUGAAAUACCUAGCCUCCUUCUUGAUAGAUUCAAUUCUUUCAGGUUGUAAUUGAUCGAGAUUGAGUUAAGAUAUUGUUAGAUUCGAAUUCAUUUUAAAUUCUACUCAGUUUCAAUCGAGAAAUUCUCAAAUUUAAUUUGAUUUAA